UAGUCCACGCCCUAAACGAUGAAUGUUAGUCGUCGGGUAGCUAGUCUAUUCGGUGAUGCAGCUAACGCAUUAAACAUUCCGCCUGGGGGGUACGGUCGCAAGAUUAAAACUCAAAGGAAUAGACGGGGACCCGCACAAGUGGUGGAGCAUGUGGUUUAAUUCGAAGAUACGCGAAGAACCUUACCUAGCCUUGACAUAUUUUAGAACACUUUAGAGAUAGAGUGGUGCCUUCGGGAGCUAAUAUACAGGUGCUGCACGGCUGUCGUCAGCUCGUGUCGUGAGAUGUUGGGUUAAGUCCCGCAACGAGCGCAACCCCUAUGUUUAGUUGCCAGCACGUAAUGGUGGGAACUCUAGACAGACUGCUUGUGAAAGCAAAGAGGAAGGUGGGGAUGACGUCAAGUCAGUAUGGGUCCUUAUGCCCUGGGGCUGCACACGUGCUACAAUGGGCUGGGUACAGAAGGAAGCAAUACCGCGAGGGUGGGAGC
rnacentral:rRNA from 1 species